GCUCAACCGGGGAGGGUCAUUGGAAACUGGGAAACUUGAGUGCAGAAAAGGAGAGUGGAAUUCCACGUGUAGCGGUGAAAUGCGUAGAGAUGUGGAGGAACACCAGUGGCGAAGGCGACUCUCUGGUCUGUAACUGACGCUGAGGAGCGAAAGCGUGGGGAGCGAACAGGAUUAGAUACCCUGGUAGUCCACGCCGUAAACGAUGAGUGCUAAGUGUUAGGGGGUUUCCGCCCCUUAGUGCUGCAGCUAACGCAUUAAGCACUCCGCCUGGGGAGUACGGUCGCAAGACUGAAACUCAAAGGAAUUGACGGGGGCCCGCACAAGCGGUGGAGCAUGUGGUUUAAUUCGAAGCAACGCGAAGAACCUUACCAGGUCUUGACAUCCUCUGACAACCCUAGAGAUAGGGCUUUCCCUUCGGGGACAGAGUGACAGGUGGUGCAUGGUUGUCGUCAGCUCGUGUCGUGAGAUGUUGGGUUAAGUCCCGCAACGAGCGCAACCCUUGAUCUUAGUUGCCAGCAUUUAGUUGGGCACUCUAAGGUGACUGCCGGUGACAAACCGGAGGAAGGUGGGGAUGACGUCAAAUCAUCAUGCCCCUUAUGACCUGGGCUACACAUGUGCUACAAUGGACAGAACAAAG
rnacentral:rRNA from 1 species